GACAGAGGGUGCAACCGUUGUUCGGAAUUACUGGGCAUAAAGCGCACGUAGGUGGUCCGCUAAGUCGCGUGUGAAAUCCCCCGGCUCAACCGGGGAAAUGCGCGUGAUACUGGCGGGCUUGAGAUCGGGAGGGGUGAAUGGAACUCCAGGUGGAGCGGUGAAAUGCGUAGAUAUCUGGAGGAACACCGGUGGCGAAAGCGGUUCACUGGCCCGACACUGACACUGAGGUGCGAAAGCUAGGGUAGCAAACGGG
rnacentral:rRNA from 1 species